CCUACGGGGCGCUGCAGUGGGGAAUAUUGGACAAUGGGCGAAAGCCUGAUCCAGCCAUGCCGCGUGUGUGAAGAAGGCCUUCGGGUUGUAAAGCACUUUCAGUGGGGAAGAAAGCCUUGGGGCUAAUACCCUCGAGGAAGGACAUCACCCACAGAAGAAGCACCGGCUAACUCCGUGCCAGCAGCCGCGGUAAUACGGAGGGUGCGAGCGUUAAUCGGAAUUACUGGGCGUAAAGCGCGCGUAGGCGGUCUGAUAAGCCGGUUGUGAAAGCCCCGGGCUCAACCUGGGAACGGCAUCCGGAACUGUCAGGCUAGAGUGCAGGAGAGGAAGGUAGAAUUCCCGGUGUAGCGGUGAAAUGCGUAGAGAUCGGGAGGAAUACCAGUGGCGAAGGCGGUCUUCUGGACUGACACUGACGCUGAGGUGCGAAAGCGUGGGUAGCAAACAGGAUUAGAUACCCCAGUAGUC
rnacentral:rRNA from 1 species